rnacentral:rRNA from 1 species
UGGGCAACCUGCCCCUCUCUCUGGGAUAACCCCGGGAAACCGGAGCUAAUACCGGAUACUCCGGCUGGAUCGCAUGGUCCGGCCGGGAAAGGUCCGCCGGAGAGGGAUGGGCCCGCGGCCUAUCAGCUUUGGUUGGGUGGGGUCAUGGCUCACCAAGGCGACGGCGGGUAGCUGGUCUGAGAGGACGACCAGCCACACUGGAACUGAGAUACGGUCCAGACUCCGUACGGGAGGCA